CCCUAUGGGGCGUCGGUUGUCAAUAAGGCGCACACCGGGGCGGUCGAGAGGUGGGCACGAAUCCGCAAUAUUCCGGGUGACGAUGAUCUCGCGAACUUCAGGGCAGCGGGCGUGUAGCGAGUCCACCAGGCGGUUGACCAUCUGGCCGUGACCGUGGCUGACGAUGGAAACGGUGAUCAGUUUUUCCGGCAUGUGUGGAUCGGGGUCCGUUUGCGGUGGGGUGUGCGUUUUCGGCAACCCGCAGCGCCUGGAUGCCGUUGUCGCAUUUACCUGCGGGCUAAGCUAUUGUAUCCUAACUGGCUUUUUCCGGCGCGGCCGAUGGUUCAUCGGCCCAGUCUUGAGGCUCGGUUUCCCUCUCCGGAAUUGGCGGGAGAGC
rnacentral:rRNA from 1 species